rnacentral:rRNA from 1 species
GGUCACUGCUAUUGGGGUUCGGCUAAGCCAUGCGAGCGGAGGGCGCGGUCGCAAGAUCGUGGCCCCGCACACGGCUCAGUAACACGUAGUCAACCUACCCUUGGGACGGGGACAACGCCGGGAAACUGGCGAUAAUCCCCGAUAGGUGAGGGAUGCUGGGAUGCUUCUUCGCUCAAAGCUCCGGCGCCCGAGGAUGGGACUGCGGCCUAUCAGGCUGUUGGUGGUGUGACGGACCACCAAACCUACGACGGGUACGGGCGAUGGGAGUCGGAGCCUGGAGAUGGGGACUGAGACAAGGCCCCAGGCCCUACGGGCGCAGCAGGCGCGAAAACUCCGCAAUGCGCGCAAGCGUGACGGGGGAACCCCAAGUGCCGUUGGCUUUUGAUCGACGGCUUUUCGGAAGUCCAAUAAGCUUCCGGAAUAAGGGCUGGGCAAGACUGGUGCCAGCCGCCGCGGUAACACCAGCAGCCCAAGUGGUGGCCGCGAUAUUGGGCCUAAAGCGCUCGUAGCCGGAUCAGCAAGUCCUUUGUGAAAUCGGGCCGCCCAACGGUUCGGCGUGCAAAGGAUACUGUUGGUCUUGAGACCGGGAGAGGUCGGAGGUACUCUUGGGGUAGCGGUGAAAUGCUGUAAUCCUGGGGGGACCACCAGUGGCGAAGGCGUCCGACCAGAACGGAUCUGACGGUGAGGGGCGAAGGCUAGGGGAGCGAACGGGAUUAGAUACCCCGGUAGUCCUAGCUGUAAAGCAUGCGGGCCAGGUGUCUAGCGCUCCUUGAGGGCGCUAUGUGCCGGAGGGAAGCCGUUAAGCCCGCCGCCUGGGAAGUACGGCCGCAAGGCUGAAACUUAAAGAAAUUGGCGGGGGAGCACCACAAGGGGUGGAACCUGCGGUUCA